rnacentral:rRNA from 1 species
AGAGGAUGAUCAGCCACAUUGGGACUGAGACACGGCCCAAACUCCUACGGGAGGCAGCAGUGGGGAAUCUUGCACAAUGGAGGAAACUCUGAUGCAGCGAUGCCGCGUGAGUGAAGAAGGCCUUUGGGUUGUAAAGCUCUUUCGUCGGGGAAGAAAAUGACUGUACCCGAAUAAGAAGGUCCGGCUAACUUCGUGCCAGCAGCCGCGGUAAUACGAAGGGACCUAGCGUAGUUCGGAAUUACUGGGCUUAAAGAGUUCGUAGGUGGUUGAAAAAGUUGGUGGUGAAAUCCCAGAGCUUAACUCUGGAACUGCCAUCAAAACUUUUCAGCUAGAGUAUGAUAGAGGAAAGCAGAAUUUCUAGUGUAGAGGUGAAAUUCGUAGAUAUUAGAAAGAAUACCAAUUGCGAAGGCAGCUUUCUGGAUCAUUACUGACACUGAGGAACGAAAGCAUGGGUAGCGAAGAGGAUUAGAUACCCUCGUAGUCCAUGCCGUAAACGAUGUGUGUUAGACGUUGGAAAUUUAUUUUCAGUGUCGCAGGGAAACCGAUAAACACACCGCCUGGGGAGUACGACCGCAAGGUUAAAACUCAAAUGAAUUGACGGGGACCCGCACAAGUAGUGGAGCAUGUGGUUUAAUUCGAAGAUACGCGCAGAACCUUACCAACACUUGACAUGUUCGUCGCGACUCUAAGAGAUUAGAGUUUUCGGUUCGGCCGGACGAAACACAGGUGCUGCAUGGCUGUCGUCAGCUCGUGUCGUGAGAUGUUGGGUUAAGUCCCGCAACGAGCGCAACCCUCACUUUUAGUUGCCAUCAUUAAGUUGGGCACUCUGAAAGAACUGCCAGUGAUAAGCUGGAGGAAGGUGGGGAUGACGUCAAGUCCUCAUGGCCCUUACGUGUUGGGCUACACACGUGCUACAAUGGCAUCUACAACAGGAAGCAAAACGGCAACGUUAAGCAAAUCCCGAAAAGAUGCCUCAGUUCGGAUUGCACUCUGCAACUCGAGUGCAUGAAGCUGGAAUUACUAGUAAUCGUGGAUCAGCGUGCCACGGUGAAUGCGUUCCCGGGUCUUGUACACACCGCCCGUCACACCAUGGGAGUUGGUUCUACCUUAAGGCAAGGUUUUAAACCCUUGACCACGGUAUAGUCAGCGACUGGGGUGAAGUCGUAACAAGGUAGCCGUCCCUAUAGUGAGUCGU